ACACACAUUUAGGUCUUGUUUUUUUUUUUCACCCUAGCAGCCGUCAUGUAGCAGCAGCAGCAGCAGCCAUCGUAUUAUAUCAUCUUAAUAUUAGGUUCUAUUUACUUAUUUUUUUACAAUCUUUCUCAAGUUUUGAUCUCUUGUUCUGCAAAUCUUUUUGUUUCAUCGAAGUUUCAUUCAUUAAUUUUGGGUUUGGAUUUAAAAUGGACCUCGUGGAUGGGAUCUUAGAGAUCCAGAUGUUAUAGUUUUCGAUCGUGAUUUCUCUGUUUAAAUCUGAAGGAAAAAUGUUUUCUUUCUGGUUUGUAUUUGUUUAUCUCAUGACGGAUGUGUUCCCCCCCGGGACAUGGGGGAGACGGAGCUGGGGAUCUACCACAUCCGGAGCCUUUUCGGAGAGGGACGCACGAGACCAAUCCGGUUUCCUCAAGGAGAGUUGGGGGAAAGCAAAAAAUCAAAAGCUUCGCGAAAUGGUGAAAGCGGGGGGACCCGUGUCUCUUACAUUCGAUAGAGAUGUAACCUAUACCCCGCUCGGUGUACCGAGCGACCUAUUUCCACGUGAGGCGGGUAUGUAUAUGUGGCGGACCAUCCCGUUCGAUAAAAUGGGUUGGGACAAAGUUUCGAAACCUCAUAAGGAUGCUAUCAUGAACCACCUAAAGGUAAAUAAGUUAUUUCGCCUUAAACGGCUGCAAAUGCAACAGAAAACGGGUGUAAAAACGCAGCCGUUUGCUGCUGCGUUUGCAGCUGUACACGCGCCGUUAAACGACUGCAUACACAACAGCAAUUGAGUGCAAAAACACAGCCGUUUGCUGCCGUUUAAUGUAAUAAUGUAUAAUACGUUUUAUUAUUUGAGUUUACUUGGUACCGUAACAUAACCCAUUAUAUGAAUGACACUGUACUUGAUGUUUUUUGGCUGUUUGGUUACAUUGCUAUAUGUAAUAUCAUAUUUUUAAAUAAUAUUAAUAGUAAUGGAGGUUAUCUCUGAAACUCUAAAUUUUAAUUAUCCACAAGCAUAAGUGUUAUAAUAGUUGAUAUCACUAAGUUAAUAUAUAAGAAUCAAAUGUCAACUUCAUACAAUCUGAUGAUUAAUUAUUACUAGGUUUUUUUACCUCGCGUAUUACCGCGAAACGGAGCAAAUGAUAACGUAAAACAAAAGUUAUUUGAAAAUGUAACAUGUUGUUUAAAAAGACUAACCGUUAGAAUCGGUUCAGAUGAUAUCAUCGUAUCAUAUUAUCAUAUUAUGAUACCAAAUAAUAUUUUAUUUGGAAUAUAAAUUCGUUUUUAAUAAAACUUAUACUGAUCGAGGGUAGAAAUUAAACAAAACUACGUACUUAGGCUUAAAAAAUAACGAACAUAAGUUAUCAAAGAAAUAUCAAAUUAAUUGAGAAAGCAAAGAUGAAUUAAAAAAAGAGAAGAAUUAUGAAAACAAAAAUAAAUGAUAAAGGAAAUAUAGUUUUAGAAAAGAAAAAGAUGAAAAUACGUUAAAAGCUAAAAGUAAAUAUAAUAAUAAAAGGGAAAACUGAAAAUAUGUUAAAAGUUAAAAGUAAUUAUGAAAAAUAACAUACUGAUAUAAUAAAAUAUUAAAAAGAUACAUAUUAUUUUAAAUUUAAAAUUACUAUUCAUGGUAGCUCGUAAACAAUAUAUAUAAAAUAUAUAUAAAAUAGAGUUAUUUUUAGUUCAUAUAAAAUUAAAUAAUAAUUAUAAUACUAUUAAAAUUUAAAAAAUAAAUUCUUAAAAAGUUAUAGUUACUAUUCAUCAUCACUUUGGUAUAAUAUGUAUAAUGUAUAAUAAUAAUAAUAUAAUAAUAAUAUCUUAUUUUAAUAAUCAAAAUAUAAUAAAUAAUAAAGAAGAUAAUAUAAUAAUCAUAAAAAAUAUGUAUCUUAGUAAUAAGGGUAAGGGAGUGUCUAUUUCUUGUCUAAUAUUGACCAAACCGGCUAAACCAAAACAUUUUAACAAUUUAGUUGUAACUGAAUAAUUCGGUGGUGCUAAUGAUAUAUAUUUCAUAUUUAAACGCAUAUUGUGUUGAUAAAUUUAAUAUUUAGUAUAAAUAUAUCAAUAGAUGUUUUGAGUGCGGUGUUUCUUCUGUUCAAUUAGCUUAUGAGUUAUUCAGGCUUAGAUUUUAUGUGGUGAAACUGAAAACCGAACCAAACCAAGUUCAGUAAUGUUCAAAUCGAACUGAAAAGUGAAUGACAAUUUAGUUUGGUUUCUGUUUUUUAGUAACUUAGCGGGAAUUAUACAACCGUUUAACGGCGUUCGCAGCCGUUUAAUGACAAUUCUACAACCGUUUAAUGACAAUUCUACAACCGUUUAAUGACAAUUAUUCAUGUUCUUUUGUUCAGGCGUUUGCAGCUGUAAAUGCGCCGUUAAACGGCUGCGUUUUUGCACCCGUUUGCUGCCGCGUUUGCAGCCGUAAACAGCUGGAAACACGGCAGCAAACAGCUGCAUUUUUAAACCAGUUUGCUGCUGCGUUUGCAGCAGUAAACGCGCCGUCAUAUUUCUAGCAGCCGUCAUGUAGCUGUAGACACCAUCAUUUUAUAUUCGCUAGUUUUUUUUUCUUACAUUUUUUCAACUUUUGAUUCCUAUUCUGCAAAUUUAUUUGUUUAAUCGUAGUUUGGAUUCAGAAUGGAUUUGGUGGAGGGGAUCUCCAGGAUUGUUUUCGAUUGUGAUUUCUCUGUUUAAAUCGAAGGGUAUAAAUUGUUUAUAAUUUGAUUGGACAAUGAAGUGUGAAAUGAAGGUAAAGUAGAAGAAGCACUGUUGUUGUGAAAAUCAAGUUUGAAUGAUUUAUAUGUUGGUUUGCAAGGAAGGUAAGAUGGAUUGCAAGGAAGGUAAGGUCGAUAAACAUCCAUUGAGUCUAAGAUGUAUAAUUGAUAUUAACCUUGCAUGAGGGAUCAUUAUCCGUCGCUCCUUGCCUUCUAGAUAUUACACAUAAUUAUAUGUUUAGCGGACAAUUUUGGGACACAUGUAGCUAACGUCUUUACUUUGGAAAAAUGCAUAUUGAUAAGAUUACUAUUGUGUGACAAUCACGUUCUAUUUGUUUUAUUUUCUAUAUUGUGAAUCUGUAUAUCCAUUUCAUAUUUAUUGUAGGUGUUAACAAAAUCAUAAUUCAUAUUUGUAUUGUGCUU